rnacentral:rRNA from 1 species
GAUGAACGCUGGCGGCGUGCCUAAUACAUGCCAGUCGAGCGAACAGACGAGGAGCUUGCUCCUCUGACGUUAGCGGCGGACGGGUGAGUAACACGUGGAUAACCUACCUAUAAGACUGGGAUAACUUCGGGAAACCGGAGCUAAUACCGGAUAAUAUAUUGAACCGCAUGGUUCAAUAGUGAAAGACGGUUUUGCUGUCACUUAUAGAUGGAUCCGCGCCGCAUUAGCUAGUUGGUAAGGUAACGGCUUACCAAGGCGACGAUGCGUAGCCGACCUGAGAAGGUGAUCGGCCACACUGGAACUGAGACACGGUCCAGACUCCUACGGGAGGCAGCAGUAGGGAAUCUUCCGCAAUGGGCGAAAGCCUGACGGAGCAACGCCGCGUGAGUGAUGAAGGUCUUCGGAUCGUAAAACUCUGUUAUUAGGGAAGAACAAAUGUGUAAGUAACUAUGCACGUCUUGACGGUACCUAAUCAGAAAGCCACGGCUAACUACGUG